rnacentral:tRNA from 1 species
AUCUAAAUAGCUUAAUAUUAGAGUAUAAUAUUGAAGAUAUUAGGGUGAUUAUUUAUAAUCUUUAGAUA